rnacentral:rRNA from 1 species
AUUGAACGCUGGCGGCAGGCUUAACACAUGCAAGUCGAGCGGAGCGGCGGACGGGGGAGUAAUGCCUAUGAAUCUGCAUGGUCGUGGGGGAUAACGUCCGGUAAUGGGCGCGAUUACCGAAUACUUUUACCAGAGCCUAGGUCGGAUUGGCUAGUUGGAGGGGUAAUGGCCUACCAAGGCCACGCUCCGUAACCGGACUGAGCGGUUGAUCAGUCACACUGGAACUGAGACACGGUCCAGACUCCUACGGGAGGCAGCAGUAGGGAAUAUUGGACAAUGGGCGAAAGCCUGAUCCAGCCAUGCCGCGUGUGUGAAGAAGGUCUUCGGAUUGUAAAGCACUUUAAGUUGGGAGGCGUUACCAACAGAAUAAGCACCGGCUAACUUCGUGCCAGCAGCCGCGGUAAUUC